GAUGAACGCUAGCGGCAGGCCUAAUACAUGCAAGUCGAGCGGCAAGUCGAGGAGUAAUCUGAGACCUAGAGCGGCGUACGGGUGCGUAACGCGUAUGCAACCUACCUCAUACAGGGGGAUAGCCCGGAGAAAUCUGGAUUAAUACCCCAUGGCACAGCACAAGGGCAUCUGCGAGCUGUUAAAGGUUCAUCGGUAUGAGAUGGGCAUGCGUCUGAUUAGCUAGUUGGCGGUGUAACGGACCACAAAGGCGACGAUCAGUAGGGGUUCUGAGAGGAAGGUCCCGCACACGGGCAAUGAGCAACGGGCCAGACUCCUACGGGAGGCAGCAGUACGGAAUAUUGGGCAAUGGUCGGAUGACUGACCCAGCCAUGCCGCGUGCAGGAAGAAGGCCUAUUGGGUUGUAAACUGCUUUGAUCUGGGAAGAAAAGGCCCGUGCGCGGGACAUUGCCGGUACCAGAUGAAUAAGCACCGGCUAACUCCGUGCCAGCAGCCGCAGUAAUAC
rnacentral:rRNA from 1 species